AGGCUUGUGUGUGUCCACCAUGGCCUGGACCGUGCUCCUCCUCGCCCUUCUUGCUCACUGCGCAGGUUCCUGGGCCCAGGUUGUGUUCACUCAGCCUCAGUCUGUGUUGGGGUCACUGGGGGAGACGGUCUCCAUUUCCUGCACACGCAAUGGUGGUGACAUUACGAGUUCCUACAUGUCCUGGUACCAGCAGCUCCCAGGCAGGGCACCCACACUCCUGAUCUAUAAUGAUGAUCAGAGAGCCUCAGGAGUUCCUGAGCGGUUCUCUGGCUCCAUCGACAGCUCGUCCAACUCUGCUUCCAUGACCAUCUCUGGGCUGCAGGCUGAGGACGAGGCUGACUACUACUGUCUCUCUUAUGAGAUGAAUUAUUAUCCCACAGUGCUUGAACCGUAUGGAGAAAAGUUCACACUCACACAACACACAAUAUUUAAUAAUCUGAGAAAUAAACCAUGA